rnacentral:pre_miRNA from 1 species
AGUGUGAUUGCUGGGUUAUAUGGUAAGAGUAUGAUGAGCUUUGUGAGAAACUGCCAAACUGUCUUCCAAAGUGACUGCACCAUUUUGCAUUCCCACCAGCAAC